AUAUUAAUAAGCGGAGGAAAAGAAACUAACAAGGAUCCCCUUAGUAACGGCGAGUGAAGCGGGAAGAGCUCAGACUUUAAAGCUUCGGCAUUGUAGUCUGUAUAAGCCAGGUUAGCACUAGUGAUCAGUAAAGUGUUCUGGAACGGACCGCCAAGGAGGGUGAUAGCCCCCGUCUACACUGAUCAUGAAGGCGUACGACCGGCUUUUAAGAGUCGAGUUGCUUGGGACUGCAGCUCUAAGCGGGUGGUAAAUUCCAUCUAAAGCUAAAUAUUGGUGGGAGACCGAUAGCGCACAAGUA
rnacentral:rRNA from 1 species